CCCUCCGCCCGCGGGGCCUGGCACCGGGCGAGCGGCCGAACACGCAGCCGCCCGGAUUAGCAGCAUUAGCAGCCAGCGCCGAGCAACAAUUAAUCAUUUGCUGGUUGGUUGUAAAUGCACAUCCUUUUCCUGAAGAUCUCCAUAACAAUCAUCAAGAAAACCAACUUCAAACUAAGGCUGCUCCAGAGGAUAAUGACCACUAGAAAAGCAGAUACCAAACCCCUGAUGGAAAUAGUGCAAAAAGAGGAAGAAUAAAAAGGAAAUACUGAUAAAUGGAACAGAGUGUAGAAAAGAGGAAAGAAAAUGCCUGGGAACUUGUGCUUUUGGUCUGUGAGCCAUGCAGAGAUGUGUCUGACUUAAGUGAUAACUGAAGAAAGAGGAGUAGUAAUCCUUCAGCUACCAGAAAGGCGCAAAAUCUGAUGAAGAAGACUAAGACUUGGGCUAGCACCAGGAAGAGGAGUACUAGUCACUAAGUGAAAGGCAGAUCACAGAUCACCUAUACACAGGAUAAAGAUACAAGCGGUUGUUCAGCACUAACAUCCCUGCACAACAUGUCCAGCCACAAAGGCCUACCUCACAACUGCCUUUGCAGCUGAAGCUGUGUCUGAACCUGUCCAGACCACCAUCUAUAAUCAGUGACUUCUAAAAGAGCUACCUGCUGAUUCUCCAAUGUCUCCAUUUAAUUUGGGUAUCUCUGCAGCAUGAGAUAAUACAACAGCCUGAGAGGACUACUCUGAGCCUGAGGAGUGGGAAUGGCUGGAGGAAGAGCUUCUUAGGCCUGAGUUUUCUGAAAUGUUUCCAGUUCUUUUUCUUACCUAAGAUUUUUUUCUGCAACAUAUGGAGGGAGAGGUUUAAAAAUAAGCUCUUUCUAUUGAGUCUGGCUCCAGAAACAAUUUUUUUUCCACAUACACGGAGCCUGUGUGAAGUAGCUCAAGGUUAUGAUGCCAACAACAGAAGCUUGAUGAAAUGUUGCUUUAAAAUCCAUGUCAUAACUACUAUGUAUAUGCCCGUGUUUGUACAUCUCUAUACUGGCACCUACUCUGCAAGGCUGGGUGACAACUCUCCCAAAGCAAUUAGAAGGCUGAAUUUUAGGUCAAGAUCCUGCUAAACAGCUUCAAAACUUAACAAAUAUCCAUAGGCCUUGGUUACACCAAGCAGGUCAACCUCCCAGUUCUGAAGUUCAAGGAAAGUUAUUUUUCUGGUGCUGCCUAUGUAAGUAACAUAGCUCCCAGUCACCAGAAAACCAGCUUGUAUUUAAACUUAAAUGAGACCUCGGGAUCAAAAUUCUACAGUUCCAACCCAAAUGCAGUACAUGAUGCACAGGUUUCUGAUUCACAUGCUUAACCUCAUGUGCCUGAGAAGCUGGUUAGCAGAAGAGUGUACGCAGGUGCACAGACUUUUUAUAUAAUUUCAAACAUCUUUCACCUUAAAGAGCUGUUAAGUAACUCUUCUCUAUCAGUAUCUGGGUUUCAGAAGAGAAGCUGCCUCAUCGAUUGCCUUGCUCAGGAGUAGGAGGGUUACUGUAAUUAUCUUGUUUGCCAGAAAAAAAAGAACAUUUAUCUCAUUUUAGGUUAGCAGAAGAAAUAGCAAUUGUGAAAUUUAUCAUUAGCUCAAGUGUAUUUUUAUUUUGCUGAUGAAUAAAUGUUGAAUGACCGACCUCUGUGCUAGUAUUGCUCCUGUUGUUUCCGUAGGAAUUUUAUAUUAAAUUUUCCAUUAAAUGCUGGAAUUUUUCAAGACAUUUGACUGACCCAAAUAAGAACAAACCACCUUAUGUGUCCUGCAUUUUAACAUUUUGAGGUGAGAGAACCAGAAGCCAUCAGUUUCCAUGCUCUAGAAAAUAAAGAAUAUUUUUGAACAUUUAGCUUAUGUUACACUAUGUUCAUGCCAAGCAGUGCUGAUCUGUUGCAAACUUGUUUGAAUUAAACUGAAGAGUCCCAAGGGGGAUCUUAUAUCUAAUUUGUUUGAAGAUGCUGCAAGGCAGUGUGAAUCACAAGAAUGAAAGAGAAGGAAACCUUUCUGUUAUUAGAUCAGCAAGUCUCCAGGAGUAUUACUCUCGUGGAGUGCCCCACAGCUGUUGGUCACCUUGAAAAGAGUAAGACACCAAGUGAAUUCCUCCUUCCUAGAAUCCAUCUCUCUGUACAUCCAAGUAAGGACCGGAAGUCUGGAGUGAAGAGGGCACUUUGGCAAAUGUGGGACUGGCAUGGGGGUAUUGGAUGAAGGGCUGUCCAACAGCACAAAUCAGGCACAAGCAGCAAAAGGUGUACGUGAGUGUCCCAAUGACUUUUGAACCUGUAGGCCAAUUCCAGAGAACUUUCAGGCUGGCAUAGAAGACAGACAACUGAACAUUGUGAACACAAGGAAGGUGAACAUAACCAUGGAACAAAAACCAUAGUAGAAGCUGAAAAAUCAUGAGUAGUGCACAGACAGUAAAGAAGAAAAAAUUCAAACAACUGUUCCUUACAAUAAAAGAAAUGAAAGGUUCAAAAUGGAAUUAUCAGGAAAAGGAAAGAGGAUGGAAUGAAAAACAUUAUUCUCUUGCAUAAAACAAAAAGUCUGAACAUGCUCUAUACUUCUUCCAAGGGCUGAAUAUGUAGAAGUGUAUGAACAGAAGAAAAAGGCAUUAAACUGUAAGAACAGUGUGCUGAAGCUGAAAGGGAGCAGCUCACAGAAUUUUCUCUUAAAAAUUCUGGUUUUGUAGGAGAAGAAAAUUUGGAAGUGUUGGUUUAUAAGCAAUUAAAAAUACCACAAAACAUUAUUUCUAGAAAUGUUGAGAUCCUGUAUAGGCAGACCAUCCUCACAAUGUGGCUGACAAUCCUGUUGCCACUUCUUGGAGUGAUAACUGAAAACAUUACCAUCUUUCAACUUUAUAACUCUUUCCAGUUUCUAGCUCUGCAAAGAAGCAAAGAAUUGCAGAGGGCUGACAAAGCUGUUUCUUUGUGUACUGGCCAAAGCUUCUGUGAGGACAUCUUCCUUGAGGACACAGUAACAUGCCUUACUCCCUGUGGUCUGUUAGUUUCAAUUUCACUUAGAGAACCACUUAGCAGUGAAAUGAAGCUCCUGGCAUACCAAAGGUCUGGAGGUCUUCCUCAGAGUACCAGACGUGCUUCUCUGAAGGCAGUGAGCAGCUGGAAUCUAAUGCAGAGACUGCACUUGGCUUCUACACUAAAAGCACAUGCUCCUGCUGAACUGGCGCUCUUGGUCAAUCCACACCCCAAACUGUGCUCAAAUCCUUCAGCACAGGAGUUGCACACAGGAAAUCAAUGCAUCUAAGACAAAAGACACACAAAAGGGUCAAGGCCUCGUGAUGGACACUGGCCAGUGUCAGAUCUGCUGUGUACCUCAAACAGGCUGCCCCUGAGAGCAGCUGAAUAAGGACACUGACUUCACUUUGAACUGCUGGUUGAAACAGGUAACUGUGUCACAGCAUGUCAGGGUCAAGUCCUCCUGUUGGACAUCCUAUGGUCAGAUGAAGUCUGAAUUCCAAUGCAACCAACUGCAGUCCUUGUGACCUGUGCAUAUCGUACGUUUUUCCCCAUAAAGAGAUGAGCUGUGGAAGCAAAAGGAGAUGUUUGCUUCUGAAGGUCUAGAGCAAGAGCUUUGUUCUUCUUAGAUGUUCUGGGCUUCAUCUGGAUCCGCAGUACAUAAAAUGACCUGGUUGGGGUAUUUUCAUCCAAACGCUAGAUGCAGCUACUUUUUGGGUUUCUCUAGGAUGUUCAGGAAUUUCCCUCGAGUCAUUUCUCUAGCUGAAAUCACAACGGAGGAAAAAGAAAUCAGUAUUUUUUUAAAAAGCCAAGAAACUCAAACAACUGUAUAAUUUGUAUAACUGUAUAACAUAAUUUAACCAUAGGAAAAGAAAUUCCUUUAGAUUUGUGCUUGUACCAAAACUAAGAAUUAUUUUUUAUCUAUUAAAGUGGAAAGUAAAUAAAACUGCAUUUCAGCUUGAAUUCCUGACAUCCUACAAAUGCAGGCAGGGUCUGGAAUCUUCUAAACUCAGCAGUAAUUCCCACAGGCUGUCUCAUUACAUACAAUCUAUGCUUUCUAUUCCUACUGCAUUAUGCUCUUGCAGCACCUCCUUUUCUCUGUACUAUCUGUCUCUGAAUGGUGAAAUCCAAAUCUCCAUCACUCUAUCUCAGCACAAUUGUUCCUGUAUGUUAUAAUCUGUCAGAGAUUCUGGAAUUCUUUUUUUCUCCGUUUCAAGAUUAUUGGUCCCUGGAUGAUGUGGUCUUCAACAGAAAUUAGGCAGCAUUUUCUCUCUCGCAGCAGUGUCAGUCCCUGGAUGCUGUAAUAUAAUGGGGUUUAUACUCCUUCAAUGCAGUUCAUCUAUGGAUAGGGUAAUUAAGUAAAGUUUAUAGAGCUUUGGUCUUCUCUUUCUCUCUGCAUUGUCAGUCCUUUGAUGUUUAAUACGGCAAGGCAAGGCAAGGCUUAUAUGUCUCUCUCUCACUCUUGGUACCAUCAAUCUCUGGUAGCUGUACUACAGCAGGGUUUACACAGCCACUUUUCUGCAUGAGACAUUUCUGACUUGAGAAUCCAUAAGCUCACAAGCUGGCAGAGCAGCCCUAAUACUAUUUGUGCCUUGCAAUAACAAUACAAUGCAUCAAAGACACCACCAUUAGCAACUGAGGCUUGGAGAAAGACAAUCUUCCCAAUGGUGCCCCUCCAAUUCCUUUGAAUAAAGGUGUAAGCUUUGUGCUGGACUGGCAGGCAUCAAAACAUGGAGGGUUUUAUUCACAGGAAUGCUGAAAGCAUGCAUGUUUCCCACACCUAGCCUCCAAGACAGUCUAGAAGGAGAUAGGAAUUAAUUUUCUGUUUUAUCCAUUCAAUUCCUGACUUCCUACUGAGACAAACAUCAGAAAUCAAAAUUAGCAUAAAAACUGGAGAUGGGUUUGUUGUUGAUGUUGAGUUUUCUUUUGACAUUAUUGAUUAUCUGUCAGAACAGGACUAAAAUAUAAUAAAAAUGUUCAGCUUACAAUACUCAGUGUGCACUCAGAUAAAGACAUUUUGUUAUUGUUUACAUAAAAGUCAGAAUUUGUGUCUUUUAAAGCCUCUUCUUUAAAUUAUUACAUUCUAAUUUGUUUACACAAAAUUUUAUCAUGAGGUGUAAAAUUGCAAAACAAUUAAUUGUAUGUAAAAGUAUGUAACCUGUUACAUACUGAUACUUGUAGGCUGCAAAGUCCAUUGUCCUGAGUGGAACAUGCUUCAGACUGGCUGCAGGUUCAAGCAGAUCACUGCACUAUUUGCCUCAUGCCUCCAGCUGUGAGUUAUAUCACCUGGGAUCCUGCUUCUGAUUCACAGCAUGAAUUAUCACAAAAGUACUCAUUUGUACCUCUACCUCCCCAGCCCCAAGAUAACUUGUAUGUUUUAACUGCUGCUGAAGUGACACAGGGAUAGAGGGUACUGCAGAAGAACAGAGUGAAUUGCUAUUUUGCCAGGAACUAAGUUGUUAUGCACAAAGAACAUGACUAAAUAAAGCUGAAAGAUUUUUAAAAUUUCAGCUUGGAAUAGAUUCUUAGCACUGAGUUCUUUGACACCUCCCUGCCUUGCUGCCACAAUAGUGCAUGGUUUUAAAACACUCUUAACUGAGAGAAGCACAAAGCUGAACUGUAGUUGAUAAAGUGGAAAGUUUUCCAGAGUGCAAGUCCCAUACAGGAGAUAUACGAAUGCAUGUCAAUUCUGUUCCCCCAAAGAGGGCUGCACCCUAUAAAUCAGGCAGAGCAUAGACUCCUUCUGUGCGCUGAGUGAAAUUACUGUGGGUUGGAGGUUGCUCCAGAGCACGUGCCUGCCUGUUCACUUGUCAUCGGAGAUGUUAACAUUUCUGAUUAAUUCACAGACCUCUCAUUUUAUUCUUCAUUCCUUUAUCCUUGCUAUCCUGUUCUGCUGCAGCUUAAAGAUUCUUACCGACCUGCUACAAUAAUCACCACCCGCUCCCCCCCCAACCUGGUGAAAUUGUUUAGUGAUGCCAACCGCGCUUUUAAUUUGCAAGACAUCAGACACAGAGGUAAUUUAUACCAACAUCUGUUCAUUUCUGACUUCUGAAACAAACUCGCACAUGCUGCUACAAAAUCCCAUUAGGAGCAGGAGACAGCCUUCUGCUAUUCUGUAUUCCUCGUCUCCUCACAGACUCAGGCUUGCACCAGGGCUUUAUCUUUAAAGAUAUGAUGCCAAACUGAGAAAGAAAAAGGAUCUUAUAUCUUUGUAUAUGUAUGAAAAUGGCCGGGAAGAAACAUCCUCAUUUGGCAGAAAAAUCACAGCCAAACUGAGGGCAAGUUUCCACAACAUUAACAAUCUUGUCUCCCCUGCUUCAGCUGCUUCCCUUAUCUGCCCAAGAACCACAGUUCAGUGUAUUCCUGGUAAACACAGGCCAAAUUUUUAUUACAUGGUACUGUGUUCAAACAUCUUGGCUAUUCCUUCACCUUUGUUUCUCUUUAAUCUGCACUGGAGUAUGAUUUGAUGGAUUUUGCACAGUAAAAGGCUCUAAUAUUAAACUGACUUCUCUGCUCAGUAUUGCUGCUGAGAAAUG